AGAGUUUGAUCCUGGCUCAGGGUGAAUGCUGGCGGUAUGGAUAAGGCAUGCAAGUCGAGCGGGUUUAGACCCGCGGCAGACGAGGUAGUAACACGUAGGAACGUACCCGGAAGUCGGGCAUAACCGGCCGAAAGGUUGGACAAUUCCCGAUAGUCUCGCAAGAGUAAAGAUCCGUCGCUUCCGGAGCGGCCUGCGCAAUAUCAGCUAGUUGGUGAGGUAAUGGCUCACCAAGGCUACGACGUUUAGGGGAGCUGAGAGGCUGACCCCCACCGAUGAGACUGAGAACGGCUCAUACCCCUACGGGGGGCCGCAGCCAAGAACAUUCGACAAUGGGCGAAAGCCUGAUCGAGCGAUACCGCGUGGUGGAUGAAGUGCUUCGGCACGUAAACACCUUUUAUGAGGGAGGAAGUUAUUGACGUUACCUCAUGAAUAAGGGGCUCCUAACUCUGUGCCAGCAGGAGCGGUAAUACAGAGGCCCCGAGCAUUACCCGGAAUCAUUGGGCGUAAAGAGUGCGUAGGUGGUCAUAUUAGUCGCCCGUUAAAACCCGGAGCCCAACUCCGGAUCUGCGGGCGAAACGGUAUGACUCGAGGGCGUGAGAGGUGAAUGGAACUCAUGGUGUAGGGGUGAAAUCCGUUGAUAUCAUGGGGAACACCGAAAGCGAAGGCAAUUCACUGGCGCGUUCCUGACACUCAAGCACGAAAGCGUGGGUAGCGAACGGGAUUAGAUACCCUAGUAGUCC
rnacentral:rRNA from 1 species